rnacentral:rRNA from 1 species
CUACGGGCGGCUCCAGUGGGGAAUUUUUCGCAAUGGGCGCAAGCCUGACGAAGCAACGCCGCGUGGAGGAUGAAGGCCUUCGAGUCGUAAACUCCUGUCGACCGGGACGAAAGCAGUAUAGGUUAAUACCACGCGCUGUUGACUGUACCGGUGGAGGAAGCCACGGCUAACUCUGUGCCAGCAGCCGCGGUAAUACAGAGGUGGCAAGCGUUGUUCGGAAUUACUGGGCGUAAAGGGCGCGUAGGCGGCUUUGUAAGUCCCGUGUGAAAGCCCCCGGCUCAACUGGGGAAUGGCACGGGAAACUGCGAGGCUUGAGUGCGGGAGAGGGAAGCGGAAUUCCGGGUGUAGCGGUGAAAUGCGUAGAUAUCCGGAGGAACACCGGUGGCGAAGGCGGCUUCCUGGACCGACACUGACGCUGAGGCGCGAAAGCUAGGGGAGCAAACGGGAUUAGAUACCCUUGUAGUC